rnacentral:rRNA from 1 species
GACGAACGCUGGCGGCGUGCUUAACACAUGCAAGUCGAGCGGUAAGGCCCUUUCGGGGGUACACGAGCGGCGAACGGGUGAGUAACACGUGGGUGACCUGCCCUUAGCUCUGGGAUAAGCCUGGGAAACUGGGUCUAAUACCGGAUAUGACUCCAUGACGCAUGUUGUGGGGUGGAAAGCCUUGUGCGGCUAGGGAUGGGCCCGCGGCCUAUCAGCUUGUUGGUGGGGUGAUGGCCUACCAAGGCGACGACGGGUAGCCGGCCUGAGAGGGUGUCCG